rnacentral:lncRNA from 1 species
UGUUAUGGGUUAUAGCUCAUGGUUGCGUGCGACUUGUUAUUACGAUGUUUAAACCGACAUGAGGAUUGAGAAAAGACGAACCAUAUAAUAUCUACAACCACCUAUCUCACGGUGUGACUCUACUCUAAGAAAGACUACUCAAGUUUAAGCGAAUAAACUCACCAACUCACGAUCUUCUCAGGUUCUCAAGUGAAACAUAAAAAUAGGAAGAAACAAAAACGAAAACCGUCUUCAGUCUCUGAUCUCAAGUUUAUCCUAAGUAUUCUUCAGUCCUUUUAUAUUUCUUCAUAAACUCGUAAGUAUCAGUAGUGUAGUUUUCGUUAGUAGUCUUCGUUGUUAAAUCUCUAAUAUAUAUCAAGUAUUUCUUCUUAUCAUCUACUUUUAAUGCAACCACAGACUCAAUAAAAAUUCUACGAAACGAUACUGAUACAACUAAAAAAUAAAAAGGUUAUAAUAUCAACAAGAUACUGAUAAAAUGUAUAGUAAUAAAGAUACUAAAUAUAUUGUAUAUAUUACUUUACUAAGCAGAAAAAGUGUCCAGUGCACUGUAUACGGAUAGCUGAAUAAAAAAUUGCUAGAGUGAUCGAAGGUCAACUCGAGCACACACUGGUCCAUAGCAGCGGGGGGAAAACGGGACACCACAACUGAACACCAUUCACGAUACGACGACGACGACGACGACGACGGUGAAGACGACGACGAGACGCUAGCCAACCGAGCGGUAACUGACCUACGACGAUUCGUUCACCCCAACAACUAAUAUCAUCGUACAUAUCAUGUUGUCUCCCUAACUCGCGGACACGCGAAAGAAUCAAUCCUACACCCACGCACUUUAAUUAAAUCUAACUCACUUAAAACUUACUAUUCGUAGUUUUUUUCCUUUCUUCUUUUUCUUCUUCUGCCUCUUCUCAAUCUUAUACUGUUUUUCUUAUUAUUUCUUCUUUUUGUAAUCGUCGAGUAACUCGUAUUAUAUCACUGGGUCUUUAAUAAAUAAUAAAUAAACGUGAAGAAGGUGACUGUUGACAAAGAACACGAAAUGACAACCGGCGACUACCGCGACAGAGACGGCAAUGGCCCCGUGACGGUGGUUUUAACACUCGCCAUGCCAAAGCCAAACCCGUUCGCGUUAGUCUUCUCCCCACUCUCGAAUCUUUUUCAGUAUCCCCUCUCUUUACUCUUUACUCUAUACGCUUGUACUUGUACUUCACUUAACUGAACUCUCAAUAUAAUACAAAAUACAUACAACACAGAACACAACCAAGUCAAUAUAGACAUGCCAGUGUGUUUUGAUGGUGUUACUUCUUAUUCCUGCCGACUUAACAUCGGUGUGGUUGGCGCUAGCGUCUUGUCGCGCGGGAACCACACGGGAGAACCGGUAAAUCUUUCGCAUGAAGAGGAAAUGCCAACGAACUCUUACUCGUCUGCACACUCUUUUCUUCUCUUCCUCAUCUUUGUUGGUUAGGUUAGAGUGUAGAGUUUGUAACACGAUACUAGAUAGGAGCUUCGAACUUUAAGAGAACGUCAGCUGAUGAUAAAUUCGCUCUCAGUAUCGACGAUGCGGACGCGGUUGGCUGGAAGUUAGAAGGACAUCGUAUCGUGGUUAACCCAUUUAACCAUCGAACGUUCCACUCCCUUGUCCUUGCUCCCAUAAUACUGACGGAAGUGUCAAAGCUGGCAAAGUUAUUCUUGCGUUGGUACUGAGACUGGUACUGGUGCUUAUAUAUCAGCAACGAUAAUAAAAAAAAGACAUUUAAACUGAGUAUUAAUAUAUGCACUGUGCAAAUACGAACGAUGAAUUGACGACGAUUCCAUUCCGCAAUUAAAAUGCACUUGGUCGUUAAACAAUGCCGGGAAAAAGAAAUAAAAGUUGUGAGCCGAUGUGUUUAUCCUCGGACGCUCUUCGUGCCAUUCUGCCACCUGGAGGUAAACUUUUAUAUCAGUACGGGUUUAAAGAAGAAAAUAAAAGUAUUAACAAAAUCCUAUCCGGUGCAUAGCAGUUGGAGGGUGGAUACGAAGGAAGGAUGUGAGUUGUAAGUAUAUGCUCGGAUAUAAUACUUAUAUAUACUUGCAACGAUGCUAUGUAUAGAUGUAUUGAGUUAUAAGUUUAAAUUUAACUCGUCAUUGAGUUUCAUCGAUUCGAUAAUCGUAUCAAUUCACGAAAACUUUCACCCAAUCUUGUAUGGUACGCCCGGAAGAAAGUGUAACUCGAUCUCCAGUACAUUCUCAAAGACACUUUUUUAAUAUAUACGUACAUAUAUAGUGUUGUCUUUUCUUGUCUUCACUUAUUGUUCAUUUGCACAUGUUAUUAUACACAUGCAACAUGAAAGAUAGAGACGAAGAGUAAUGAUGAUGGCAAAACAAAAAGAAUAUAAAAAGUUGAGUAAAAAAUUGCAAAAUGUGCGUUUCUGCUGGAUGAUGGAGUAGUUGGACAACGUGCUUAUUAUGUCGAGGCAAUAAUACCAGCUCCGAAGUAUACUCUGGACGUGAUUAAACACCCGUAUAAUAAUCGACCCUGCGAUCAUUGAAUUAUUGAAUUAGUGGUUGAUCGAACAAGCAAAGGAAAGUCAGACUCAGAUACAGAGAUCAUGCAUCGAACACAGCACCCACGAGUAUGCGUGUCUUGCGCUUGGGAAAGCUUUCAUGCAUCCUGAGCUCAGAAAAAUUAUUCAGCGUGACGACCGGAAUGUUGACUUACCAUAUUGGAGACAGUACUCUUGACUUGGGCGAGUAAUUGUGAGGCAGGAGACAGAUAAGACUCGA